AUUGAACGUGCUUGCACGGACUUGACGUUGGUUUACCAGCGAGUGGCGGACGGGUGAGUAACACGUAGGUAACCUGCCCCAAAGCGGGGGAUAACAUUUGGAAACAGAUGCUAAUACCGCAUAACAAUUUGAAUCGCAUGAUUCAAAUUUAAAAGAUGGCUUCGGCUAUCACUUUGGGAUGGACCUGCGGCGCAUUAGCUUGUUGGUAGGGUAACGGCCUACCAAGGCUGUGAUGCGUAGCCGAGUUGAGAGACUGAUCGGCCACAAUGGAACUGAGACACGGUCCAUACUCCUACGGGAGGCAGCAGUAGGGAAUCUUCCACAAUGGGCGCAAGCCUGAUGGAGCAACACCGCGUGAGUGAAGAAGGGUUUCGGCUCGUAAAGCUCUGUUGUUAGAGAAGAACGUGCGUGAGAGCAACUGUUCACGCAGUGACGGUAUCUAACCAGAAAGUCACGGCUAACUACGUGCCAGCAGCCGCGGUAAUACGUAGGUGGCAAGCGUUAUCCGGAUUUAUUGGGCGUAAAGCGAGCGCAGGCGGUUUGAUAAGUCUGAUGUGAAAGCCUUUGGCUUAACCAAAGAAGUGCAUCGGAAACUGUCAGACUUGAGUGCAGAAGAGGACAGUGGAACUCCAUGGGUAAC
rnacentral:rRNA from 1 species